AAUCUUAUAGUUUAUUAAAAAUUUUAAAUUGCAAAUUUAAAGAAAUAAAUUUAUUUAUUAAGAUUU
rnacentral:tRNA from 1 species